UACGGAAGGUCCUAGCGUUGUUCGGAAUUACUGGGCGUAAAGCGCAUGUAGGCGGAACAAAAAGUUAGAAGUGAAAUCCCUGGGCUCAACCUAGGAAUUGCUUUUAAAACUUUUGUUCUGGAAUUCAGGAGAGGAAAGUGGAAUUUCCAGUGUAGAGGUGAAAUUCGUAGAUAUUGGAAGGAACACCAGUGGCGAAGGCGACUUUCUGGACUGAUAUUGACGCUGAGAUGCGAAGGCAUGGGUAGCAAACGGGAUUAGAUACCCCGGUAGUCCAUGCAGUAAACGAUGGGUGCUAGUCGUCGGACUUUUGUUCGGUGUCGUAGCUAACGCGUUAAGCACCCCGCCUGGGGAGUACGGUCGCAAGAUUAAAACUCAAAUAAAUUGACGGGGACCCGCACAAGCAGUGGAGCAUGUGGUUUAAUUCGACGCAACGCGAAGAACCUUACCAGCGUUUGACAUGGAAAGUACCGGUUACAGAAUCGUAACCUUCAGUUCGGCUGGCUUUCACACAGGUGCUGCAUGGCUGUCGUCAGCUCGUGUCGUGAGAUGUUGGGUUAAGUCCCGCAACGAGCGCAACCCUUAUCGUUAGUUACUAACAGUUCGGCUGAGGACUCUAGCGAAACUGCCGGUGAUAAGCCGGAGGAAGGUGGGGAUGACGUCAAGUCCUCAUGGCCCUUACACGCUGGGCUACACACGUGCUACAAUGGUAACUACAACGGGACGCAAUACCGCGAGGUGGAGCAAACCCCCAAAAGUUAUCUCAGUUCGGAUUGCACUCUGCAACUCGAGUGCAUGAAGUUGGAAUUGCUAGUAAUCGCGGAUCAGCAUGCCGCGGUGAAUACGUUCCCGGGUCU
rnacentral:rRNA from 1 species